GGGGGCGACAGGUUUCGACGGGGAGCAGAACGGCGGAGAUAGCGGGCCGAGGCGCCGAGCCUCGUUAAAAAGCGGCAACCAAAGAUAAACGCCAACGAUCAACUGGCACAGCUGGCACUCGCUGCUUAAUAUAAAGCAGCCGUCCUAACCGGAUUUUAUCCGGGAAUCCGGGGUGGGCGUCGACUAAACCGGAUUGCCCCUGUCUCUUUGCCCGGGGAGACAGGUUAAGACAAACGGGCUUGGUCAAAGGGUGGCGUGCCGGAUGCGCGCCCGGCGACGAAAAAAUCACCAUCCGGCUGCGCCCGGAGAAGUUUCCGUGGUUGGCUCUUCGGACGGGGGUUCGAUUCCCCCCGCCUCCACCA
rnacentral:tmRNA from 1 species